CAGUCGAACGAACUCUGGUAUUGAUUGGUGCUUGCAUCAUGAUUUACAUUUGAGUGAGUGGCGAACUGGUGAGUAACACGUGGGAAACCUGCCCAGAAGCGGGGGAUAACACCUGGAAACAGAUGCUAAUACCGCAUAACAACUUGGACCGCAUGGUCCGAGCUUGAAAGAUGGCUUCGGCUAUCACUUUUGGAUGGUCCCGCGGCGUAUUAGCUAGAUGGUGGGGUAACGGCUCACCAUGGCAAUGAUACGUAGCCGACCUGAGAGGGUAAUCGGCCACAUUGGGACUGAGACACGGCCCAAACUCCUACGGGAGGCAGCAGUAGGGAAUCUUCCACAAUGGACGAAAGUCUGAUGGAGCAACGCCGCGUGAGUGAAGAAGGGUUUCGGCUCGUAAAACUCUGUUGUUAAAGAAGAACAUAUCUGAGAGUAACUGUUCAGGUAUUGACGGUAUUUAACCAGAAAGCCACGGCUAACUACGUGCCAGCAGCCGCGGUAAUACGUAGGUGGCAAGCGUUGUCCGGAUUUAUUGGGCGUAAAGCGAGCGCAGGCGGUUUUUUAAGUCUGAUGUGAAAGCCUUCGGCUCAACCGAAGAAGUGCAUCGGAAACUGGGAAACUUGAGUGCAGAAGAGGACAGUGGAACUCCAUGUGUAGCGGUGAAAUGCGUAGAUAUAUGGAAGAACACCAGUGGCGAAGGCGGCUGUCUGGUCUGUAACUGACGCUGAGGCUCGAAAGUAUGGGUAGCAAACAGGAUUAGAUACCCUGGUAGUCCAUACCGUAAACGAUGAAUGCUAAGUGUUGGAGGGUUUCCGCCCUUCAGUGCUGCAGCUAACGCAUUAAGCAUUCCGCCUGGGGAGUACGGCCGCAAGGCUGAAACUCAAAGGAAUUGACGGGGGCCCGCACAAGCGGUGGAGCAUGUGGUUUAAUUCGAAGCUACGCGAAGAACCUUACCAGGUCUUGACAUACUAUGCAAAUCUAAGAGAUUAGACGUUCCCUUCGGGGACAUGGAUACAGGUGGUGCAUGGUUGUCGUCAGCUCGUGUCGUGAGAUGUUGGGUUAAGUCCCGCAACGAGCGCAACCCUUAUUAUCAGUUGCCAGCAUUAAGUUGGGCACUCUGGUGAGACUGCCGGUGACAAACCGGAGGAAGGUGGGGAUGACGUCAAAUCAUCAUGCCCCUUAUGACCUGGGCUACACACGUGCUACAAUGGAUGGUACAACGAGUUGCGAACUCGCGAGAGUAAGCUAAUCUCUUAAAGCCAUUCUCAGUUCGGAUUGUAGGCUGCAACUCGCCUACAUGAAGUCGGAAUCGCUAGUAAUCGCGGAUCAGCAUGCCGCGGUGAAUACGUUCCCGGGCCUUGUACACACCGCCCGUCACACCAUGAGAGU
rnacentral:rRNA from 1 species